rnacentral:rRNA from 1 species
UACGUAGGUCCCGAGCGUUGUCCGGAUUUAUUGGGCGUAAAGCGAGCGCAGGUGGUUUAUUAAGUCUGGUGUAAAAGGCAGUGGCUCAACCAUUGUAUGCAUUGGAAACUGGUAGACUUGAGUGCAGGAGAGGAGAGUGGAAUUCCAUGUGUAGCGGUGAAAUGCGUAGGUAUAUGGAGGAGCACCGGUGGCGAAAGCGGCUCUCUGGCCUGUAACUGACACUGAGGCUCGAAAGCGUGGGGAGCAAACAGG